UCCCCUGCUACCUCCCUCACAUACACCAGAAGCACCCUCUCCCUCCUUGCUUUCUUCUCCAACCAAGCCAUGGAGGAAGAACUCCUCCCUCUUCACCAAAUCCACCAUAUCUCGUCGGAGUUUGCCGGAGGACUGCUGGAGGACGUCGCCGAUGAGCUUCUCCACUGCCUCGUCCACCUCUUCCUCAUCGGAGACCAAGGAGAACGCCAUUCCCAAGCAUCUUCUUCCUCUACUUAAUCUUCACCAAGCACUUCAAGGAUGAACUCAGCCCGAUCUACUCUAACGCCGCCCUACGCCAACAAGCGACCCCUUGCUCGUGCUCUACUCGUUGUCGGUUCCUUCUUGUGAGUGAUUGCCACGUUCAUCCCGCCGGAGCCGGCAAAGUGGAUGGAUGGUGGAGGUCGCUCUAAGCUUGUGCAGGUGGUGUCUUAUGGGCAAGGACAUCAUUGUUGCACCUUAUUACUCUAUAACUUCCCGCUACGUUUUAGCUUUUAAUCUAAGGAAAAACACGAUAUAAUAACUAUCUAGACUUAGGUUAUAUCAUUUAAUAGUCAUCUAGACUUAGGUUACAUCGUUUGUUAAGAACCGGUGAAAAUUUUCAUGUUCUAUUUGUUAUAUAUUAUAUCCUAAUUUGUGAAUUUUUGUAAGAUGAUUAAUACUUGUAAAUAAGGUUGAAAUAUAUAUUCUUGACAGUUGGCUCAUGUAAAA